GCGAAAAGAACCCCGGCGAGGGGAGUUAAAAUGAACCUGAAACAGUGUACGUACAAGCAGUAGGAGCCUCUUUAUGGGGUGACUGCGUACCUUUUGUAUAAUGGGUCAGCGACUUAGAUUCUGUAGCAAGGUUAACCGUAUAGGGGAGCCGUAGGGAAACCGAGUCUUAACUGGGCGAAUGAGUAGCAGGGUAUAGACCCGAAACCCGGUGAUCUAUCCAUGGGCAGGUUGAAGGUUGGGUAACACUAAC
rnacentral:rRNA from 1 species